UAUGGGGACGAUAUAUCCGGGGCACCGGUAGUGCCGGAUAUCAGGGGCUAGAAUUCCUCAUCCGUCGGCGUGUAAUUGUUUACAGUCCGACGAGCAACUUUAAACCCAAGUAUUGAGUUGCAGCAUAUAUUUUUAUUUGCAGGCAAGUCUAACGUUGCUAUACUCGUUUUAUCUAUGCAUAUAUAUUUUUUAAUAGUUUUCUGUUCAAAGAUCUCAACCGAAGUUCAACUCCUAUGAUUUCGCCUUCCUUGCCACAGAAAUCCAAUAGUAUCCAACUGCAGCCCCGGAGAACAACACCCUGCCAUGACAGAACACCCAGGCGGGACAGAAGUACUGUGGCUGGACGGAAGACAAAUACCGGUAAACGUAUUUAUCGCUUGAAUUAACAAAACAUAGAAAUAAAAUAAUAUUUCGACACGUUAGUAACCACUUUUAGAGCUUAAUAAAGGUUUAACGUUAUUUAGACAAAUACCUCAGGAUUUUUUCUUUGCGUUCUUAAACUUAUUAGACCAAAACAUUAGAAUAAAACAAUAUUAUGACAUGUCAGUAAGCUUUUUUUAUAGCUUAAUUUUAUUAACGUUAUAUAGACGAAAAAACUGAUUUAGGGUGUAGACAAUUAUUUAAUGGAAUUGUGUAUUAUACACUUUACUCAUUGAGUAAUUGACCAUUAGAAUUAAGUAAUUAGAAUUAAGUAAUUGUUUUAAUAUGUCUGAUUGAAUCACAUUAAUUUUUUUGUAAAGUAUACCAUCAUAAUUUGAUAUAAAUAUACAUUGAAGAAUAACCACACCAAAGUUUCUUCACAAUUUAUUUAACAAAUAAUCUACAGAAGCCAAAAGAUAUAGCUUCUUCAUGCUGACUGCCAUCAGCUUCAACUCACUGUCAAAAGAAUCAAACAGUUAAAAUCAAUAUUAAGCCUAUACAAUAUAUUAUUUGUAUUCUGUCACUGGAAACGUCAUUCACUUCUCUUUUUCGCUUCAGUCUGAAGACUGGAAGUAGUUCAGCCGCCAUUUGUUUGGCCUCCUCCAUGAAGUGUGGGAACCUUCUGCCGUGCCUGUAUAAAUAAAGAUAAAUGAUUGUAGGAAUUAUACAUAUUUUGUUAAUAUUGGGGUUGAGGUAUAUAUUCAUAUUUGAAAUAAACAAAAACAUACCCAUCCAGAUGGAAGUUCUCAAGCAGUACUGUGCACCACCAUUUUCUGAGGACAGGCAUGUCUUUCUAAAGUAAGGGGAUAUUCCAAGAAUUGACAAUGAUAAAAUAUGUAUACAAGUAUGAGUUUUUCGAUAUUGUAACCUUCAAAAAUCCACUUCUUAUUUUAAACGUAUCUUUUCAAUCGUCAGCUUUUUUCAUUUAAUGUAAUGCCUACUUACAACAGUGAAGUCAAACGUUGCCUCCUUGGCAAGGUACCAAGCAUACUGUGAUGGAAAAAUGUAAUUGGUGACAACAUUCACACGUGUUGUUAUAGUGCUUAGAGGGUGUGUUUUUGAGACAGUUGUGAUCGCCGAUGUCUUGCUUUCUUGUACUUUUGCCUCUGUAUUCUGAUUUGAAGCUCGUCAUUGUAGUCCUUUGCAUAACCUGACCUUCUUAUCUAGAGGCCCAUUUCAGCACCAUCCCCCUUAGUGUUGUGUGUGACUGAUCUAUCCAUCAUAUAUCUAGGCUGAAAUGGCUUUGGGCUAAGAGCACCCAGUGGUCAAUCGUGGAAAUUGAAACGGCAACGUUCUGCACUGCUGCGUGAGUUGGUUCUAAUCUCAUCUCUCGGGCGGUAUGUGGCUCAGGAGUGUGGAGGCGUCCCUGGGCGAGACGCCUCACCCUGACUGCUCCUGAGGAGCUGGCGGUCGCCCUGCGUGGUUGACCCUGCCAUCGCUGUGUGAAUGGGGGUCAAGGUCUGGUCCGACCCAUACAAGCCCACCAGCAAGUGACCUCCGACCUGACAACUGAGGAUGGAGGGUCACCUGACCUGAACUGUGUGUGCGUGGGAAUGUUUUUCAUUUGUAACUUUAUUCUAUGAAUAAACUCAAAAUCAUACCAAUAGUGGUGUUGCUGUUUUAUUUCAGCCUGUAAAAUUGCUGAACAGCAAUCUCGGAUUAGCAACUUGAAUGCAAAUUUGGAUUUAGAGCUUAUAUAUUUAUUUGCAGAUGAGCCAAAAAAUCUAGUAAUAGAUACAGUUGUGUUUAUAGAUCUUAACCGAAGUUCAACUCGUAUGAAAUCGCCUUCCUCGCCACCAAAAAUAUACUGCAUAACGUUGCAGUAUAUGUGUAACGUUGCUAUACUAGUUUCAUUUAUACAUAUGCGUUUGAAUACAGUUUUCUGCUAAUAGAGCCCAGCCAAAAUUCACCUCGAAUCUAUUUGCGUUCCUGGCCACAAAAAAUAUAUAUAUACUGCGUGCAGUUCAUGUUUUGUCCACCAGACGGCAGGGGUUGACUGACUGUGAUUAUUGGCGUUCGGGAAUGUUUUUAAUUUAUAACUUUAUUAUAUGAAUAAAAUCAAUACUUUAAAAACAGCGGCGUUGCUGUUGUAUUUUCGGCUUUAAUGUGUAGUUAUAUGUUUUUAGAGCUUAACCGAAGCUCUCCUCGUAUGUAAUCUGGCCACAAAAAAAUAUACUGCCCGCAGUUCUCGUUUUGUCCAUCAGAGGGCAGGCGUUGACUGACUGUGAAACAAAGCGUGUGUGGGAAUGUCUUUUAAGUUGUAACAUUAUUCCAUUAACGAAGUCAAAAUCUUAAUUUGCUGUUUGGUUGAUUUAAUUGCAUAAAUAGUAUUUCAUGGAACACCAAUCUCGAAACGUAUGCUAUGACAACGACCUACCUAUGGGGACGAUAUAUCCGGGGCACCGGUAGUGCCGGAUAUCAGGGGCUAGAAUUCCUCAUCCGUCGGCGUGUAAUUGUUUACAGUCCGACGAGCAACUUUAAACCCAAGUAUUGAGUUGCAGCAUAUAUUUUUAUUUGCAGGCAAGUCUAACGUUGCUAUACUCGUUUUAUCUAUGCAUAUAUAUUUUUUAAUAGUUUUCUGUUCAAAGAUCUCAACCGAAGUUCAACUCCUAUGAUUUCGCCUUCCUUGCCACAGAAAUCCAAUAGUAUCCAACUGCAGCCCCGGAGAACAACACCCUGCCAUGACAGAACACCCAGGCGGGACAGAAGUACUGUGGCUGGACGGAAGACAAAUACCGGGGUCAAGGUCUGGUCCGACCCAUACAAGCCCACCAGCAAGUGACCUCCGACCUGACAACUGAGGAUGGAGGGUCACCUGACCUGAACUGUGUGUGCGUGGGAAUGUUUUUCAUUUGUAACUUUAUUCUAUGAAUAAACUCAAAAUCAUACCAAUAGUGGUGUUGCUGUUUUAUUUCAGCCUGUAAAAUUGCUGAACAGCAAUCUCGGAUUAGCAACUUGAAUGCAAAUUUGGAUUUAGAGCUUAUAUAUUUAUUUGCAGAUGAGCCAAAAAAUCUAGUAAUAGAUACAGUUGUGUUUAUAGAUCUUAACCGAAGUUCAACUCGUAUGAAAUCGCCUUCCUCGCCACCAAAAAUAUACUGCAUAACGUUGCAGUAUAUGUGUAACGUUGCUAUACUAGUUUCAUUUAUACAUAUGCGUUUGAAUACAGUUUUCUGCUAAUAGAGCCCAGCCAAAAUUCACCUCGAAUCUAUUUGCGUUCCUGGCCACAAAAAAUAUAUAUAUACUGCGUGCAGUUCAUGUUUUGUCCACCAGACGGCAGGGGUUGACUGACUGUGAUUAUUGGCGUUCGGGAAUGUUUUUAAUUUAUAACUUUAUUAUAUGAAUAAAAUCAAUACUUUAAAAACAGCGGCGUUGCUGUUGUAUUUUCGGCUUUAAUGUGUAGUUAUAUGUUUUUAGAGCUUAACCGAAGCUCUCCUCGUAUGUAAUCUGGCCACAAAAAAAUAUACUGCCCGCAGUUCUCGUUUUGUCCAUCAGAGGGCAGGCGUUGACUGACUGUGAAACAAAGCGUGUGUGGGAAUGUCUUUUAAGUUGUAACAUUAUUCCAUUAACGAAGUCAAAAUCUUAAUUUGCUGUUUGGUUGAUUUAAUUGCAUAAAUAGUAUUUCAUGGAACACCAAUCUCGAAACGUAUGCUAUGACAACAACCUACCUAUGGGGACGAUAUAUCCGGGGCACCGGUAGUGCCGGAUAUCAGGGGCUAGAAUUCCUCAUCCGUCGGCGUGUAAUUGUUUACAGUCCGACGAGCAACUUUAAACCCAAGUAUUGAGUUGCAGCAUAUAUUUUUAUUUGCAGGCAAGUCUAACGUUGCUAUACUCGUUUUAUCUAUGCAUAUAUAUUUUUUAAUAGUUUUCUGUUCAAAGAUCUCAACCGAAGUUCAACUCCUAUGAUUUCGCCUUCCUUGCCACAGAAAUCCAAUAGUAUCCAACUGCAGCCCCGGAGAACAACACCCUGCCAUGACAGAACACCCAGGCGGGACAGAAGUACUGUGGCUGGACGGAAGACAAAUACCGGGGUCAAGGUCUGGUCCGACCCAUACAAGCCCACCAGCAAGUGACCUCCGACCUGACAACUGAGGAUGGAGGGUCACCUGACCUGAACUGUGUGUGCGUGGGAAUGUUUUUCAUUUGUAACUUUAUUCUAUGAAUAAACUCAAAAUCAUACCAA